rnacentral:rRNA from 1 species
UAGUAACGGCGAGUGAAGCGGGAAGAGCUCAAGCUUAAAAUCUCCGUGCAAGUUUUGCGCGGCGAAUUGUAGUCUAUAGAGGCGUGGUCAGCGUGGGCGCUUGGGGCAAGUUCCUUGGAAGAGGACAGCAUGGAGGGUGAUACUCCCGUUCAUCCCUGAGUGGCUCGUGCGUACGACCCGUGUUCUUUGAGUCGCGUUGUUUGGGAAUGCAGCGCAAAGUAGGUGGUAAAUUCCAUCUAAAGCUAAAUAUUGGUGCGAGACCGAUAGCGAACAAGUACCGUGAGGGAAAGAUGAAAAGAACUUUGAAAAGAGAGUUAAAGAGUACCUGAAACUGCUGAAAGGGAACCGAAUCGUUUCCAGUGUCUAUAAUCCGUGGCAUAUUUCAUUGGCGAGUGUGUGCGUGCGUGCGCUGUGGCAGCGGCUUUUUUGGCUGCGCUCGGUGCGUGUGUUGUGUGUGCUUGCUGGUGCCCUGUGCUGCGGUGGGACGUCAAGGUCAGUUCGUAUGCUGCGGGAAAUGGCUGCCGAGGAGGUAGGGCUUACGCUCUGCGUUUGUCUAUUAUAUCUUGGUGGACGAGUCGUCGCGGUUGGGACUGAGGUGCCUACAACGUGCUUUUGAGUGGGUGUGUGUCUCCGUGUGCGCCGUGUGCGGAUAGCUUGCUAUGCGUGUGUGGUUGUGUGUGGAUUGAUGCGUGUCUUAACUGUCGCCGUUC